ACAACUUCAGGAGAAAAAAAGGCAUUUACCUAUUACAGAGAUGGUGCGAUUUGAUUCUUUUUUCUUCUUUUUUUAGACUUCAGUAUUAUGAGAAAGAUACGUGAUUCGGGAUAGAAAGAACCAAAUUAUUGAAAUAAACCUACGCUUGGUGAAGGUGAGUUUGAAGAUAGAACAAUUCCUUCUGUCGUGUAUCCUCGAUUGAUGCAGCCUCGGAUGCUUCAAUUGUUAAUUUGAGUAUUGAGCGAAAGGUUACACCUAUAGGUUCUAUAUUGUAGGUCAAUCCUAUUCCACUAGUACCAAUAGGCAGCAUAGGGGAAGAAGCACUACACCAAGGAAUCAACAAUACGAAAACUUUGUUAUAUAUUUCCCUUUUCCUUAUUGGUAUCGGGACUAACAAGAAUGGUUGGGACAACAAACAUCCAUACAAUAUCUGGUAUUUCAAAUCUAAUUGAAGGCUCCGGAAGAGCCUGUAUGGUGUUGCCUGGAGCAACAGUAUUAUCAAUAAGCGAUGCCUUGUUUUGUAGUAGAUCCC
rnacentral:lncRNA from 1 species